UGUACUUUGGAGAGAUAUUUUACAGCAUUGUUCUAGGGGAUCUUUUAUGCCCUAAUUUUCAUUUCUCUUCAUCUUAGAACCAUCUUCCACAAAAAGAAGGUGGAUUCCCAUCCAACUUCGAUUAUCCGACUUGGAUGUUGAUCAACCUUCUUUCCUUACUUGCCGACCAAGCUACCAAAAAAGAAGGUGGAUUCCCAUCCAACUUCGAUUAUCCGACUUGGAUGUUGAUCAACCUUCUUUCCUUACUUGCCGACCAAGCUACCAUGAAAAUGAGUAGCUAAGUCAUCCAUUUGUCAAGGUUAGAU
rnacentral:lncRNA from 1 species